rnacentral:rRNA from 1 species
GUGAGGAAUAUUGGUCAAUGGGCGGGAGCCUGAACCAGCCAAGUCGCGUGAAGGAAGAAGGAUCUAUGGUUCGUAAACUUCUUUUGCAGGGGAAUAAAGUGCAGGACGUGUCCUGUUUUGUAUGUACCCUGAGAAUAAGGAUCGGCUAACUCCGUGCCAGCAGCCGCGGUAAUACGGAGGAUCCGAGCGUUAUCCGGAUUUACUGGGUUUAAAGGGUGCGUAGGUGGUUUGAUAAGUCAGCGGUGAAAGUUUGCAGCUUAACUGUAAAAAUGCCGUUGAAGCUGUCGGAGUUGAGUGUAAAUGAGUUAGGCGGAAUGCGUGGUGUAGCGGUGAAAUGCAUAGAUAUCACGCAGAACUCCGAUUGCGAAGGCAGCUUACUAAGCUACAACUGACACUGAAGCACGAAAGCGUGGGGAUCAAGCAGGAUUAGAAGCCCCUGUAGUCC